CAAUGGCGGCACCGCUGCUUCACACGCGUUUGCCGGGAGAUGCGGCCGCUUCGCCCUCUGCAGUCAAGAUGCUGGGCGCGUCGAGGACUGGUGUUCAGUUUGGUGGAACUGUGACAGAAGUCUUGCUGAAGUACAAAACGGGUGAAACAAAUGACUUUGAGUUGUUGAAGAACCAGCUGUUAGAUCCAGACAUAAAGGAUGACCAGAUCAUCAACUGGCUGAGAUUGCCUUGGUUGAAUAGAAGUCAAACAGUAGUGGAAGAGUAUUUGGCUUUUCUUGGUAAUCUUG
rnacentral:lncRNA from 1 species